rnacentral:snoRNA from 1 species
GCCACCAAAACAUGAUCUGUUCUAUAGGUUGUAUGUCUUAGUUUGCCUAGAUUCCUAUUUAGACAAGCACACAAAUCUGGAAGAUGAACUAUGGCUCUCAAGCCAGAGUGUGAAUACUGUGAUGGUUGGGGGUGGGUUCCCACUUCCACCCUUCUCUUGAUGAACGUCCCAUCUAUGACAUUUCUAGUUCUAGAUGAUGAAGGCCUGAGAGCUUUCUGACGGAUC